rnacentral:tRNA from 4 species
GGCGUAGCCAAGCGGUAAGGCAACGGACUUUGACUCCGUCAUUCGCUGGUUCGAGUCCAGCCGC